UACAUAGGACGCAACACGCCAGACGCAGCUCGCAGACGCAGAGAAAUCUACAUAGGACGCAACAGUCCGCAACACACCAAACGCAGCUCGCAACGCGCAUGCAAGGUGACGUUGCAGCGCACGUAGCGUGCACGCAUUCGCAAAUCCAUCAUACGCGAUGAGUUGGAUUAAUUUAACUUUCUGCGUUGCGGUAAUUGCGUCGACGAGGGAAAAUAUAAAUGAAGUGGGAAAAUAUAAAUGAAUAUUCACGUGCAUCAUGAAUUCCAAUUCAGUGAGAAUGGAGAUAUUACCAUAUUGGAUUUCAGAAAGAACGAGGCAAGUUAUUGCAUCUGUAUGCAAUAACAUUGGUUUAUAUGCCAAGAGCUCAUGAGUGUAUAAAGAUAAGCAAGCAAAAGAUUUAGCUUGGCAAUGUAUUGGUGCUUCGUUAAUUCCUUCUUGUUCAGGAGAUAUGGCUGCAAAACGAUUCAAACAUCUAAGGGAUACUUUUCAAAAAGAAAGGAAGAAAGUUAGUGCUAGUAUUCCCUCCUCAGGAGCAGGUGUACAAGAUGGAGAUGCGAGAUUUGAAUCAACGUGAGAAUAUUAUAACAAUUUAUUAUUCCUCUCAGAACAUAUCAACAGUAAGAUAUAUACAUCGGUAGUUGGUAAAUAUACACACAUUUUUUUUAAUUUACACAGGACAACUUUACUUAUUUUGACACAGAAUCAAAUAACAGUCAGUUUUACAUACAACCAGAUGACAGACAGUUUUACACAGAUGAAGCAGAUUCCUGUACAAAUGUUUUAAAAAGGAAAGCAGAGAUGACACAAGAGGAUGAAACUAUGGAAGACAUUGUUUAUGUGGAUAAUAUUCUUCCUGUCUCUAUGCAAUGCGUGUCCUCUGAUGAAAACAAGUCAUUACUCAACAAAAAGUCAAACAUGACUUCUUGUGCAACUCCAAGUAUAUCAACGUCAUCAGUGCCUAUUAUUAAAGUGCAGGCACCAAAAAAAAUGUCAACCUCUCAAUCUGAAGCAUCAUUGCCUGAAAAAUCUUUCACUAUUUGAGGAAAAGCUGUAGCAUCAAUACAGAACCAGCAGUAUAAAAUACCAAUGUCAGAUAUGAUGAAGAGAAAGAAAAAUAAAGACGUAAUUGAAAGUUGUAUAGAACAACUUUCAAAAAGUGCAUCUGAUAUCGCAGCAAGAAUAACUCGUCCUACUGAAACUAUUACUAAUACUAAUAUCGAGGAAUUAAAUUUCUUGCAAUACUUAAUAAAGCAGAUAACAGAUAAUAAGAAA